AGACCCCGUGAACCUUUACUGCAGGCUCAUAUUGGUCAUGAGCACAUGAUGCGCAGGAUAAGUGGGAGGCUUUGAAGCUGAUGUUCAGGCAUUGGUGGAGCCGUUGUUGAGAUACCACUCUUCUUGAGUUUGUGGCCUAACCCUGAUUCCCGUGAAGCCGGGCAGGGGACAGUGUGUGUCGGGUAGUUUGACUGGGGCGGUCUCCUCCUAAAGAGUAACGGAGGAGCGCAAAGGUUGGCUCAGCACGGAUGGAAACCGUGUUUCAGAGUGUAAGAGCACAAGCCAGCUUUACUGCGAGUCCGACAGGACGAGCAGUCUCGAAAGAGGGCUCUAGUGAUCCUGCGAUCGCGUGUGGAAGCGUCGUAGCUCAUCGGAUAAAAGGUACUCCGGGGAUAACAGGCU
rnacentral:rRNA from 1 species